rnacentral:tRNA from 1 species
GGAGGCAUGGCAGAAUGGCUAUGCACCUGGCUCUUAACCAGAGGUUUCAAAACCAACGUGGGUUCGAUUCCUACUGCCUCCACCA